UGGGGAAUAUUGCACAAUGGGCGCAAGCCUGAUGCAGCCAUGCCGCGUGUGUGAAGAAGGCCUUCGGGUUGUAAAGCACUUUCAGCGAGGAGGAAGGUGGUGAGCUUAAUACGCUCAUCAAUUGACGUUACUCGCGGAAGAAGCACCGGCUAACUCCGUGCCAGCAGCCGCGGUAAUACGGAGGGUGCAAGCGUUAAUCGGAAUUACUGGGCGUAAAGCGCACGCAGGCGGUUUGUUAAGUCAGAUGUGAAAUCCCCGGGCUCAACCUGGGAACUGCAUUUGAAACUGGCAAGCUAGAGUCUCGUAGAGGGGGGUAGAAAUUCCAGGUGUAGCGGUGAAAUGCGUAGAGAUCUGGAGGAAUACCGGUGGCGAAGGCGGCCCCCUGGACGAAGACUGACGCUCAGGUGCGAAAAGCGUGGGGCAGCAAACAGGAUUAGAUACCCUGGUAGUCCACGCUGUAAACGAUGUCGAUUUUGGAGGUUGUGCCCUUGAGGCGUGGCUUCCGGAGCUAACGCGUUAAAGUCGACCGCCUGGGGAGUACGGCGCAAGGUUAAAACUCAAAUGAAUUGACGGGGUCAUAGCUG
rnacentral:rRNA from 1 species